CCACGGUGGUCUAGUGGUUAUGGCGCUCGACUACUGACCCGAAGGUCGCGGGAUCGAAUCCCGGCCGCGGCGGCUGCAUUUUCGAUGGAGGCGAAAAUGUCUGAGGCCCGUGUACUUAGAUUUAGGUGCACGUUAAAGAACCCCAGGUGGUCGAAAUUUCCGGAGCCCUCCACUACGGCGUCUCUCAUAAUCAUAUCGUGGUUUUGGGACGUUAAACCCCAGAUAUUAUUAGCAGCAUAUUCCUUUUUUUUUUUAAAUUUUCAAUUCAUAUAGUCACCAGCUUACAAACCUUGUGGAAGAUAUUUCAACUGGAAAUUCAGAUAAAAGCAUGGUGUUCAAUGCAAAAUAAUUAUGGCAUUGUUAACCACCUCCUUCAUUUGUUAUUCUUUUAUAUGGCAACAACUUUCUUUUUUUCUACAUGUCUGCAUAUCUGCUGCCACAUGCCAAAAUCGCUUUUUAUAUUUUUAUUCUGUUUUUCACUUAUUUUACCAUCCUAAAUUUUAAACUAGGUGCUUCUACAAUUUAAUCGUGUUUUUAGGCCUCUUUUCUGAAAUCAGUUCCUGUGGUUCACCUUGUUCUCCACCUUUUAAGUACGCACGUGCGUGUUUGUAUUCAGUGCACCCAGUGAAUACUAAAGCAACAUAUACAUGCAGUAAAAAAUUGAGGCAUCUUGAACAAUGCUUAAAACCUUAGCAUAUGCUAUAAUCGUUGAGAGCAUGCCAUGCUGCCAAAAGUACCAUUUAAAGUGCUCAUUAAGGUUCCUUUUUGUUUCAUAGUUAUGGACACAUGCAGCGACUUGAAAAGUAGUUUAAACUAGUUGUUUAACUAAUAUGUUAGCUGUUGCCCAUCACUAGCUAGGAUAUAGAUGUCUUACUGCAGGUACAGGCAAACAAUGUUUAGGGGAGAUAUGUUCCAUAUCAUAUUUACCAGUAGCAUGCUUGAUAGGAAUUUAAGAAAUACUGUUUAACCACCUGGAUAUUAGCCACAGCAGCUGUAGUUAUGAGUCAUUGACUAGCAGCUUGCUUAAGAGAAGAAUUUGUCAACUCUAGUUGGUGCAUAGGCUUGGCUUUCGUUUUUAUUGUAUUUAUUCUUUUUUAUCCUUUGACAACUUGAAGUGCACCUCUUUUGUCGACUGCAUUCCUUUCUUCAAUCUCUGAAAUCCCUUGCUUGCAGGUGUUCCUAAACAGGUGUUAGGCCAUUCAAGCAAUAAUAGCAGCAGAGCGAACCCACUUGUACCUCUUCUUUUAAAAAAAAAUUGUUGCAUGUUUGUGCAAGCUCAAUGCUUUUCGACACUGCGUUUUUAUUGUUGUGAAAAAUAAAAAGUGGCAGAGAGGCUGUUACAGCCAUGUGCUUCUGGCAUAGACA